GCCCGGAUGGCGGAAUUGGUAGACGCGUUGGUCUCAAACACCAAUGAUAGCAAUAUCGUGCCGGUUCGAUCCCGGCUCCGGGCAC
rnacentral:tRNA from 1 species